UUGUUUUUGUUUUCCAUCCGGCAAAACCGCCGUUCAUCUCUUCCCCAACCUCCAUAUCUAUUUUCUUCCAAUGUUGAUCAAUAUAUAUAUCGAUUUGAUUGAGUACUCAUAGCGUUGAGUGCAUAAGGCGGAGGAUUAUCGACGGUGGUAAAAAGAUAGGAUAAGGAUUGGAAGAGAAAAGGUGCAAAGUGACUGAAACAUAAAGGUGUUCAAAGGGCUUAUGCUCAUAAGCCCGCCAGGUUAGUUCGCAUUGGAGAGUACCAGUUGAUGUUUGUUCAUGUCUGUCGCAGCGCUGCAUCCUUGGUGGGUCACUGUGCUCUAUUAGAGAUAGAUCUUUUGAAUUGUCAGUUGUGGCAUGUUAGAACUA